GCUUACGGCCAUACCACCCUGAGCGCGCCCGAUCUCGUCUGAUCUCGGAAGCUAAGCAGGGUCGGCCUCACUUACGGCCAUAAGACCCUGAGCGGCCCCGAUCUCGUCUGAUCUCGGAAGCUAAGCAGGGUCGGGCCUGGUUAGUACUUGGAUGGGAGACCGCCUGGGAAUACCAGGUGCUGUAAGCU
rnacentral:rRNA from 1 species